rnacentral:rRNA from 1 species
AUUGAAGAGGUUUGGAAAGACCCACCACAGAAGGUAAUAGUCCUGUAUGUUAAACGAGAAGACUUUAGAUAUGAUCCAGAGUACCACGGGACACGUGAAACCCUGUGGGAAGCAGGAGGGACCACCCGCCAAGGCUAAAUACUACCUAGUGACCGAUAGCGUAUAGUACCGUGAGGGAAAGGUGAAAAGAACCCCGGGAGGGGAGUGAAAUAGA